GCCAGGUACGUCCAGUGUGCCCGAGCCGCGGGCGUCCCCUGCCGCUGCUUCCUCUUCACCGCCACUCUGGAGCAGGCGCGCCACAACAACCGGUUUCGAGAGAUGACGGACUCCUCUCAUAUCCCCGUGUCAGACAUGGUCAUGUAUGGCUACAGGUACUGUUGGGGAUAGCAGGGGGCAGGGGCACUGGCUGGGCCACAUGAUCCAGGCUGUCCCUCACUGUUCCCACCACUGCCAGGAAGCAGUUCGAGGCCCCAACGCUGGCUGAAGGCUUCUCUGCCAUCCUGGAGAUCCCGUUCCGGCUAUGGGUGGAGCCGAGGCUGGGGCGGCUGUACUGCCAGUUCUCCGAGG
rnacentral:lncRNA from 1 species